rnacentral:rRNA from 1 species
UACGUAGGGUGCGCGCGUUGUCCGGAAUUAUUGGGCGUAAAGAGCUCGUAGGCGGCUUGUCGCGUCGGAUGUGAAAGCCCGGGGCUUAACUCCGGGUCUGCAUUCGAUACGGGCAGGCUAGAGUUCGGUAGGGGAGAUCGGAAUUCCUGGUGUAGCGGUGAAAUGCGCAGAUAUCAGGAGGAACACCGGUGGCGAAGGCGGAUCUCUGGGCCGAUACUGACGCUGAGGAGCGAAAGCGUGGGGAUCGAACAGG